AGUCGGCGAGGGCCGAGUUCCAUUGCUGGCUGGGCGUGCGGCGUGAAUAGCUGCUGCUGCUGCUGCUGCCGCGGCGGCUGGUGCAGCUGCGGGGAGAGCGGGGCUGGCGGCGCGGCAGCGGCGGAGGGAGAAGGGAUGCUGGCGGAAUGGGCGGCCGGGCAGGAAAGCGGAGAGCAGGAGCCGGAGCUCCGCUGAGAAGCGUCCGCGCUGCUGCUGCCCGUCAAGGGAAGGACGUGAGCUGAGCCCAGCCGGAGCACUCAUCACCCGUCUAAGAGUGGAAACACGUGCUCAGAAGUUUCACACUGGGCCACACCAUGAGGCUGAACCUGUUCUUCCCACAGCUUAAAUCCCGGAAGACUAGGGUGGGAAUCAGAAGCAUCCAUGACCUUAUUGAGGUUCAGCAUCAGGCAGCCCUGUUCUCCUUGAUGUCAAGUGGGAUGGACACAGUCAAGUAUGGCAGAGAAUGAAGAACUAUUGACAAGAUGGGUAUGGCGAUGCCAUGGCAAGAAUGUCAGAUUUUUAAACGGAAGCAGAAAAAACAGGACGUCUUGAGAAGCUAGGUGAGUAAUUCAGAAAGCUGCAUU